rnacentral:rRNA from 1 species
GACGAACGCUGGCGGCGUGCUUAACACAUGCAAGUCGAACGGUAAGGCUCCAGCUUGCUGGGGUACACGAGUGGCGAACGGGUGAGUAACACGUGGGUGACCUGCCCUGCACUUCGGGAUAAGCCUGGGAAACUGGGUCUAAUACCGGAUAGGACCGCACCGUGAGGGUGGGGUGGAAAGUUUUUUCGGUGUGGGAUGGGCUCGCGGCCUAUCAGCUUGUUGGUGGGGUAAUGGCCUACCAAGGCGGCGACGGGUAGCCGGCCUGAGAGGGUGGACGGCCACAUUGGGACUGAGACACGGCCCAGACUCCUACGGGAGGCAGCAGUGGGGAAUAUUGCACAAUGGGCGGAAGCCUGAUGCAGCGACGCCGCGUGGGGGAUGACGGCCUUCGGGUUGUAAACUCCUUUCACCAUCGACGAAGGGUUUCUGACGGUAGAUGGAGAAGAAGCACCGGCUAACUACGUG